UUUUUCUACAACUGUAACACUUUACUGUCACUUAAAUAUGCUUUCCUCAAACUACAUCUUGAAUAUUAAUGUAUUGUUUGUAUCUCUGCUAUCAGGACUGUCAAAGAAAUUGGACACACAAAACAAAGACUGUCAGGUGCUGUAUAAGUGGCUCCAUCCCAUCAAGAACCACAUUUACUGGAGUGCAACUUCUACAUCAGGACCAGAGAAGGUGGCCAAGUUCACAUCCAUGUUCAACCACAUUCAGGAUGUGCAUGAGCAUGACAACUCAUCCCAAGAAAGUGACAAGGAAUCCAAAGAAGUGGUUCUAACCAGGGUCAGUGGCUCUACAUCAAGUGGGGAAACGCAUGAACAACAACAGGGUCUUGAAGGUGGUGGAGAAGCUGAGUCAACACUAUCAAACCUUCGCUCUAGAGUCGUGCCACAUCCUGCUGCUUAGUCUCGCACCAAACAAAGUGGUCUUUCCGUUCAUGGGAAUGUUCUACAGCAAAAAUGCUGAACGUGAUCAAACAACAGGACAACUGAUGUAUAAGGCAAGCCCGUCAAAACAGACUAAACAAAGCUACCGUGCAGCUGUCCAAGAGUUUUGAAGUUGUGAUGAAGAAUACAAAUGUAUUCCAAAAUGACUUUUUCAAAUCAGAAGGUAUUUUUUUCUGUCUUUGUUGAAACAUGUUUUUAAUGACUUUCCUCUUCGCUGUACAGAUGUUGAAUGGAGUUUGUACCAAGAUGUUUUCAAGUAAAAAGAUUCUCCCAGCUGCUGCAAAAUGA